rnacentral:rRNA from 1 species
UACGUAGGUGGCAAGCGUUGUCCGGAUUUAUUGGGUUUAAAGGGUGCGUAGGCGGGUUUUUAAGUCAGAGGUGAAAUCCUGGAGCUCAACUCCAGAACUGCCUUCGAUACUGAGAGUCUCGAGUCCGGGAGAGGUGAGUGGAACUGCGAGUGGUAGAGGUGAAAUUCGUAGAUAUUCGCAAAGAACACCAGUGGCGAAGGCGGCUCACUGGCCCGGUACUGACGCUGAGGUGCGAAAGCGUGGGGAGCAACAGGAUUAAGAUAC